GCUUGAUCUUGGAAGAACGAUGAACGAAGAACGAAGAACACUUUCUUCAAGGGCCGUCGGGGCUUGAUCUUGAAUUGGUGGAUUGUUGAUCCAAGGGCCAUCGGGGCUUGAUCUUGGAAAAACGAUGAACGAAGAACGAAGAACGAAGAACACUUUCUUCAAGGGCCGUCGGGGCUUGAUCUUGAAUUGGUGGAUUGUUGAUCCAAGGGUCGUCGGGGCUUGAUCUUGGAAGAACGAUGAACGAAGAACGCUUUCUUGAUUCUUCGGGAACCUGGAUACUUGAGAGCGUCGGAGUUUCAGAGUUUCAGAGCUUCAAGGUUUUGGUGUCAUAUGAAUUGGUGAAAUGAAAUGAAUGAAAUUGGCUUCUAUUUAUAGAAUUUUCCAAGGCCUAAUUUUGAAUAUAAUAUUCCAGAUGAAAUAAGUCAUUUCUGCCAGGUGUUGACACGUGUCCUGUUUGAUGACUUUUCCAACUUAUUUCAAUUUUUUGUUUAGACACAUGCUACGUGUAAAAUUUAUGUAAUACAUGAGCGUUGAAACUUUGAUUUAUCGGUCAACAUUUAUUUACCGAAAUUUCGAUGUCUACAAAUGCCCCCACUUCAAGGCGCAUCGUAUACAUGUGCUUGUCACGUGUAGAAGAUGCGUUUUGAAGUCCCUUACUGUAGAUGUCGAUCCAAGGGCCAUCAAGGCUUAAUCUUAAAUUGGGCUGGAGAUUUCUUCAAGGGUCGUUGAGGCUUAAUCUUGAAUUGGGCUUAAGAUUUCUUCAAGAGUCGUCGAGGCUUGAUCUUGAAGGUUGAAAUUGGACCACAAGGAGCUUCAUGUGGUAGAUGAUCUUUGGCUUUGGUAAUUGAUGAAUUGGCACGUAUUUGUUUUUGCGCUUGUUGACUUUCCACAGCUUUGAUCUUGAACUAGGUUGGAGGAUUUUCUGGAUUCCUCUAAUUGUUGACUUUCCUCAGCUUAUUCUUGAACUUGAUUUGAUUCAAGGGUGGUGGACGCUUGAUCUUGAAUCAGACUUGUUAUUUCCUCAAGGGCCGUCGAGGAUUGAUCUUGAAUUUAGCUGGAAGCUUCUUCAAGGGCUGUUGAAGCUUGAUUCUUGAAGGUUGACUCGAACACAUGGCAAGCAGGUAUGAGGUGAAGGUGACGACUUGUCGCUUUGUUCAAUCUUUCUAAUUCAUACCUGGGCAGUUUGGUCAAUGGUAUGAUCUUCAAGAUUGAUGGGCUCUUCUUCCGGUUGGUGACUUGAUCUUUAAGGAUUUGAUUCAAGAGUGGUGAAUCGGCACGUGCAACCCACAACGCCUAGCGAGUCGACCCAUGAAUUUGAGGGUCAAAACGAGUCCUCCACCCAGAGUGAUUGCAACCCUGAUGAUAUGAGAUACUCUUGCUUUUCGAAGAAGUGGUGGUGAUUUGACAACGUUGCACAGCGAGGCUUUGUUCUUCAGCGAUGGUGUCGUCAAUAUGUUGUUGAAGCUUCUCGAGCUCUUGGAUUCAACUCAGACCCCUUCUUCUCUCUAAUUCUUCAACUCGAACUCCUUCUGCUGAGUUGAUUGUGUACGCCGCAUUUCCUUAUUUGUUCUCCAGGCAGAUGUGGCAGUUUCUUGAGUUCCUCAACUCAGACUCCUUCUGCUGAGUUGAUUGUGCAGGCCGCAUUCUUCUCUGCGUGUUCCUUCUGCACCUUGUCUCCACAUGCUACAAGGUAUCAUUUUCACUUGCCUUAUCUGUUCUCCAGGCAGAUGUGACAACUUCUUUGGAAGUACAGCAGCAGUGGAAGACGAGUACUCGAGAGCAGUGCUAGGUAGGCAAUUAGGGAAGGGUUCCAAGCAGUCGGUUCCUUACCCGAGUUUGAGUGGAUGUGACAACUUCUUUGGAAGUAUUGCUUUCUUUGCAGGUAAGAACAAGUACAAAGGAAAGGAUAUGGAGAACGCAUGAUAUGAGAUACUCUUGCUUUCUACCCUGGUGAUAUGAGAUACUUUUGCUUUGGUGUCAUUUGUUUGCAGAGGUACCCCAAGGAAUAAGGAACACUAAGUGACUCGAGAGGCUUUGUUGGGAAGGCAUUCUCGGAGAUGAAGAAAGGUUCUGUAUGUCUGCCUUACUAUGGAGGGUGAAGGUGGAUAGUUAUAGGAAGUUCUUUAAUACCUGUAGAGGUACUAUUCUUUCACUCGUGUCGGUAACCAUUGCGUGAUUGAUCGGUAUGGCUUCACGUGCUUUGUUCUUUAUCAGAAAUCUUCGACAAAUUGUCCGUAAUUUUCGUCAAGCUGAGUGUGCAUGUGACAGGUGUUGACGAGGCUGAAAAAGACUGGCGCCUCUUCGAUAUCUGGGAUCGGCGCUUCGAAAAAUUGCCCGUGAUUUCCGCAAAGCUGAGUUUGCAUGUGACGAAUGCUGACGCGUCUGGAAAAGCAAGAUGCCUCUCCAAUAGCUUGCCUCUUCGAUUUUUUUUUUAAUUAGCCUCUUCGAAUUCUGAGCUCGCCUCUUCGAUCUCUGAAAUCUCAUCGAGUGCUGAUUUUUAUAGAGGCACGCAGUUCGUUUCAAAACACACUUGAAUUUUCGCUUGUAGAAACUCCCUUUUUGCACUUCUAAAAUCUUGAUUCGUCUCACCUCCUCUCUUUUUUAACACCUUUGAAAAUGUCUGGACCCUCCGACCGUCAUUUUUACUUGAACCUUGGUAAAGAGGCAGUCCCGCCUUCUCCAGACAACAUAUGGCGCCCAUCCUUUAUAUCCCCUACUGGUCCUCUUACCGUCGGGGACUCGGUGAUGAAGAAUGAUAUGACCGCUGCGGUGGUGGCCCGGAACCUUGUCACUCCCAAAGAUAACAAACUGUUUUCCAAACGGUCUGAUGAGUUGGCUGUUAAGGAUUCUCUGGCUCUUAGUGUGCAGUGUGCAGCUUCUGUGUCUAAUAUGGCCCAACGCCUAUUUGCUCGAACCCGUCAAGUUGAAUCAUUGGCGGCUGAAGUGAUGAGUCUCAAAUAGGAGAUUAGAGGGCUCAAGCAUGAGAAUAAACAGUUGCACAGGCUCGCACAUAACUAUGCUACAAACAUGAAGAGGAAGAUUGACCAGAUGCAGGAAUCUGAUCAGAUUUUACUUGAUCAUCAGAGGUUUGUGGGUUUGUUCCAACAGUAUUUGCCUUCGUCUUCUAAGGCUGUACCGCGUAAUGAAACUCCAAAUGAUCAACUUUCGGUGCAUCCUCCUCCUGGGGUUCUGCCUAGUACUGAGGCUCUAAAUAAUCACCCUUUGGUGCCUCCACCUUCUGGAGCUCCGCCGAGUACUGAGAUGCCACCUGAGCAAUGAAGACUCCCUCCUGUUUGUUUGCACUUUUUUUUUGUCUCAUGUAAAAUGUACAUUUAUGUAAAUUUUUAGAGAAAUCAAUAAAUGAGGCUUCUUUCAUUCAAUGUCUAUAUAUAUAUAUAUAUAUAUUUUUUUUUUUUUAGGUGCGCCUGGCACCAUCAUUAUUUUUUUUCUUUUUGCCAAUUUGCAUGUCUUUUUUUUUGCUUUUUGAAAAUGGUGCUCAUGCACCACCACUUUCAUUUCCCCUUUUUCUUUUUCUUUUAAUCAUGCACCCACCCAUUAUUUUUUUAUAUAUUAUUUUUUUUCAUAUGGUGCAAUCCGCACCAUCCCACCUCCCUACUUUCUUUUGCUCCUUCUUUUCAAAAUGGGCUGAUGGUGAUGAUCCUUUAUAAUAAUUUUUUUUUUCAUGGUGUGGUGCACCAUUCCUGAAACCUUUAUAUUUUUUUUUCGGCCAACACCUUCUCUUUCUUUCCUAUAUAUAUCCCCACAUGAUGCUUGGCGGUGCGCGGAAGAUGGAGCAAAGGGAAGAUGCUGGAGUUUGUAGACGGGUGACAUCGUGGUGCAGCAACAGCAAGCUUUUAGGUAUGUUUUAGGCUGAGGACGAUUUCAAUCUUUCGGACCCUAUAUAUAUAUAUAUACACACACACACACAAUCUGUUAGGAUGCCAGAAUAUAUAUAUAUUCCUUCAAUUGUCCCAUCGCCAUCAUCAUUUGCGUCCCUUCAAGCCAUUUAUAUAUAUAUAUAUAUAUAUAUAUAUGUGUGUGUGUGUGUGUGUGUGUGUGUAUGUGGAAGUUUCAACGUCCUGUCACCAUCACUGUGUACACAUUGUAUAUAUUUGUAUAUGGAACUUGGUUGCCGUGUCUUAUAUAUAUAUAUAUAUAUAUAUAUAUAUAUAUAUAUAUACACAUAUAUAUAUAUACACACACCCAUAUACACACACACACAUAUAAUACUAUAUAAUGUGUCUAUUUUUAUGCACAGUGUGUUUGUGCCCCCACUGAUGGAUUUCUUUGCUGUGAUGCCAGGAAUUCUUAAUUUUAAGAAGGCAGAACAUGAUGUUGGGACCUUCAUGAAGCCUUCAGAGGUGUGAUUGUUGGUGGCGGAGUGAGCAGGUUGCCUAGUGCUUGUGCUAGAGACUGCAACGGGGUUUCGCUGUGUAGUGCCUUUUGAUCACAGUUUUCCCUCGGUGGUGCGCUACCGUGUGGUGCUGUGCAAGAGACUGCAGUGGGGCUUCGCUGUGUAAUGCCUUUUGAUCACAGUUUUCCCUUGGCGAUGACGUCGCCGUGCGAUGCAAGAAAUUGCUUGAGUAGUCGCUGUGGGUUUGCGUAGUGUGAUUGUGUAGCAUUUUAGUUUCCUCUGCCACUGUAGUGUGCUUUGAAUGACCGUCUUGUAGCUGUCAUCUCUGCCGUGCUGCUCAAGCUUUGUGGCUCACUUUUCCGUUGCAGUCAUGGUGUUUCUCAAGUGCUUUAAAAACAACACCAUCAUCAUUCUUGCGAAGGAAGGCGAUCCACAAGAUAGUGGAACGACAUUGAAGCUUUAUGCGCCACUAACUGGCCCUAAGGCGCUUGUUCUUCCCAUAAAAGACAACUUCAUGCAUAUUAAGUCGUGGUCUUCUGAGGUAUCUUGGGAGGUGGUAGACUCCGUUCGACCAACUACAAAGAAGAAGGUGUGUAAAUCGAGGAUUCUUGUCUUGAACUCUUCGCACCAUGAUCGUGCCAACCCUUUGGUUAAGUCUAAGCUUCUUGGCGAUCGUAUCUGUAGCAGAGCUAUAGCUUGGAAUAGCACCCUGUCGACUACUGGAGGAGCCGCCUUCGUUGAGUUUUAUUGGGAAUGGCUUGAAGAUGUCUUGAGCAGUUCCAAAGAUAUACUUACUAACACAGGCAUUUAUCAUGCUGUAUACGCAUCUUUGUUCAGUUAUGAUCGCCAUCCUUCUGUCAUUCGUGCAUUCUUUGAGUAUUGGUGUUCAGCGACCAACACGCUUCACACGGCUCGAGGGGAGAUGUCAAUUUCACUUAGGGAUCUCCACAAGCUAGGGGGUCUGCCUAUCUAGGGAAAAUUUUAUGACGAGGUUGUUCCUAGUGUGGAGGAGUUUUCUUGUCGCAACAGUCGAGGAUUUCCUGCGAGCUGCCGCUAUUUGUUCUGGCGUACCAUAAGCUUUUCCAAGAGGCCCCCGGUAAGUCAGGCGUGAAUAUUUCUUCGUGGAUCCGGUUUUGGUAUUGGGAUGUCGUGAAGUACAAGAGGCCUUCGAAAAAAAAUGAUCGUAACAAGACAACCAGGCCUAAGGGAGACUCUGAUCCAUCAGGCAUCAUUGGUCUAGUUGAGCGUCGUACCCCUAACGAGUUAAGGGCAUUUGAGGAUCUCGGCGUGGCAUUUGAGCACUUGGAAGAAUCUUACUUAGCUGCAUUCUUAGCUUGUUGGCUUUGUAAGUUUGUCUUCCCUAAAGACGACGUCAACUUGAUUCGUCCUGGAGUCUUCAAAGUUGCUAGCAAGAUGGCUGCAGGCUAAUCUUUUAGCCUUGCUAUUCCGGUCUUAGCCAACAUUUACGAUGGCUUAAAAGUUGUUUCGAACUUAGCAAGCACUGAAGAUCGUGAUGCGGUACUUCCUUACCACUACGUGUACGGUUGGUUGGGUAAGUACUUUGGUACUCAUUUUUCUUCGUCAAUUUUAUACAAGUCUGGGCCCUCCGUAGUCAAGCUGGGACCUUUGAUGACGAAGUAUUUUGGCGUGCUUUCUGUGAAGAGUCUCGAUGAUCAGUAGGCGCAAACAUUAUUUAAAAGUUGUGAAGGAUUGAGGAUGGAUCGCCUAGCGAGGGUUGGCUCGGUACGGCGAGACAUCAUGGAUGAUUCACAUCUCCACUUUUCAGACUUGUCUUACCUUAUAAGUCUUCGCUCGGGGUAUGUUUCUUUGCGGCAAGAAGACCGAUGUAUCAUUCAGCCGUACAGUCUUCACCGCUUUAGCAAGCAAUUUGGUUUUGUCCAAAAUGUGCCAGGCACGUUGAGGGAGAAAGCUCGAUCAGAAUCCUUGCAAGCCGCGUAUACGCAUUGGGAGUCGUGUACUCGUGCAUAUACAAACGCUUUUAUCACCCUGCCGGCCAAAGACGAUUUCAAGAGUAAUCCAGUAACCCGUGUAUACGUACGUUGGUGGUCAAAGGUAUAUUAUGAGAAUUUAGGGACGGCAAGUGGUUCCAAUUCUUCCCAUUCACGUCAUGAUGCGUUAAAAGAGGGUUGUUCUGUGGUUCCUAUGCAAUUGGUACCUUUUGAUUGUGCGAGUGUCACUCCUUUGCAAGAUAGACCUAUGGUUUUGGCCCAUCAACACUUACGUCUGUCCUAUCCCCACCUGGAUGCUUCUGAAGAGGUGGGUGACGAAGUUGAUUCGCACGGAGAUGGACCUGUUUUGUGGCUACACCAACAAGUUUUAAAUAAGCGGUCACUCGAAGUCGCUCAGGUUGACAGUGAUGUUAAUUUUCGUCAUAAGAAGAAAUGAAUGUUUAGGCCUCCUCAAUCCGAUGUUCGUGUGUCAGAUGUACGUAUAUUUUUUUUUUCAUUAUUUUAGCUUUUAUUUCUAACAUCUUUCUUUGUUUUGUUUAGGUUGGGCCUUCUUGUUCUUUUGAUCUGGUGACUGCGGGCAUUCACUCCCGUACAGACAUGCUACUUGGAGGCAAUCUACCUACGGAUGGGGAGAUUGGGGAUCCACUUGGUGCAGAGCUCGUUCAAAAUCUGCCCAAUUUCCUAAGCUUGCCGUGUGUAGGUGGAGGCGUACAAGAGUCCAUCAUGCGUCUAACACCUUUGCCAGCUAGUUCGGGGAUCUCUUUGAGAAGGCCGAACCUUAGAGGUACUGAGCAAGUCAUCCAUCGCAUUCGUCUUGGUGCGGCAAUGGAUAUCAAGAGCCAUAUAAAGAAGAGGAUUUCUAAAUGCGCGUUGGAAAACCUUACGUUGCUCAAUGAGGAUUUGUCGAAGCUUGUUCUGUGAUUGACAGCCUUAACGUUGAUUCUUCAUCGUUGAAGAUCAAGAUUGCCGAACUUAUGGCCGCCUCAACUGAGUAUUCUUCCUUGCGUGCUAUUUCCUUAGAGAAGUUGAGUCCGGAUGUUAGAGCUCAUCAGCUAGCAACGAUAAACUUGUCACUGGCUUAAGUCCGGUCUUCUCAGCAAGCUGCUUCGGGAGAUUAUCAAUUCACAAAGACUUCUUUAACUUCUAUCCAGGUGCGUCUAGAUGCGUUGGUGUGAGAGCGAGAGCAGUUGGUAAUCGAAGCAUCGCAACUUGAAAGUGUUCUCUCGGAGCAGGGAACUACACUUUCUCAGUACCAGGAGGAGAUUUCGCGCUUAGAACGAGAGAAAGGCAUGACAAUGGAGUUGCCCAACUUGUCUCCCACCGAGGUAGAGACUUUAAAAACUUUGGAAGGCUUGCUUGAAUAUCGCCUUCGUAGUUUUAGGGACAUAGUUUUCAAGUAGUAUCUUCUAUUUUUUUUUCUUGUAAUAAGGCUUUGGAGCCGACUUCUUCUUUUAAAGAAAUAAAGUAUUUACAUUUUUUGAAGUUUUGAAGUUUCAAGUUGCCUACGUACCCUCAGUUGAGGAGGGAUCAAGUCAUAACGUAGUUCAAAUGAGCGAUGAAUUUAGCAAUGAUUUUGAUGAUAAUUUUGCCGUACACAAUUUAUGCUCUUGCGGGCUAGGAGCUUUGGUUCAUGCGGUUUAGGUUCGUGCGAACAAAGAGCAAGAGUUUGUCGCUUUUUAAGGGUAGUAGCACUUCAAGAAUCUGCCAUUGAUAGGGCCGAUCUUUAAGCCGUCUUCCGCCAUGAUUAAGUAGGCGCCAUUGGUGUAGACUUCUUGUAUUACGUAUGGUCCAUCCCAUUUUGACGUGAACUUGCUCUUUGUCUUGUGAGUUGUGAUGAUAGGCCUACGGAAUAAAAGGACGAGAUCUCCCAUUUGAAAAGAACGAGGGAGAACUUUCUUGUUGAAGGCCUUGGAGAGUCGUGCUUGAUAACACUCCAAGUGUUGCUGGGCUUCGAGUCUUUUCUCAUCCAGCGCUUCCAGCUCUUGAAGGCGCAACUUUGCAUUCUCUUCGUCAGUCAAGCCUUCUUGUAUAGCCAUCCUUAGCGAAGGGAUUUGACUUUCGAGCAGUAUAACAGCUUCCACGCCAUAUACGAGAGAAUAAGGUAUAGCUUGGGUAGGCGUUCUAUAUGUCGUCCUGUAUGCCCAAAAUGCUUCGCCUAUUCUUUCAUGCCAGUCUUUCUUUGUUCUACCGAUUACCUUCUUCAGGAGGUUGCACAAUGUCUUGUUAAAUACUUCUGCAAGACCGUUGGCCGAAGCAUGAUACAUGGAGGAUUUGUGCUGCUUGAACUUGUAUUUCUCGCAUAGCUCGUCCACGAGUCGGUUGGAGAACUAUUUUCCAUUGUCAGUGACAAUGUAGCGAGGCUCACCAUAUCGGUGGAUGAUAUGUUCCUUGAUGAAACGGACGACAGUUUGCUUCUUGACUUCAUUCAGGGGUAUGGCUUCAGCCCACUUGGAGAAGUAAUCUGUUGCAGCCAGGAUGUAAGAGUCUCCUGCAAAUGACUUUGGCGCAAUUGGUCCUACGACGUCCAAUCCCCAUGCAUUGAAUGGCCAUGAAGUAGCUGUGGGGUGUAAUGGUUCAAGCGGUUGAUGUAUGAAGUUGGCGUGAAAUUGGCAGGCUUGGCACCUUUUGGCGUGUUCUAGGCAGUCCUUUACCAUGCUUGGCCAGUAGUAACCCAUUCUUUUGAGCUGGAAAUGAAGCUUCGGUCCGGACUGAUGCGCCCUACAUAUUCCUGAGUGUGCUUCUUCCAUGGCUUAAUUGGCUUCUUCCUCGCCUAGGCAUCUCAGAAGUACUCCUUCAAAAAAUCGCCGGUAGAGUGUCCCUUUGUAAUAGAGGAAGCGAUGUGCUCGUUGACGUACUUCAGAGCGGUGUUUUGGAUCAUCUGGGAGUAUUCCAUGCUCCAAGCAGUUGAUCAGCGGUUGUCUCCAUUCUUCAACGUUAACCAGAAGUAUGGAAAUAACGUUUGUAUCACUAAGUACCAUUUCAGUGACAGGCGGGAUUACCCAUCUUUGGCAGACUGGCACGUUUGCAGCUUCGUCUUCUCCUAAUGUCAUGCUCGAGGCUAGGUUAGCGAGAGCGUCUGCCAUUUUAUUCUCUUUUCUUGGCACGUGUUCUAGUGUUACGGUCUCAAAUCUUUGUAGCAAUUGUGUUGCCAGCCGGAAGUAUAGGACGAGAUCAUCUUUCAUCACCUCAUAUGCAGUCAAGAGUUGAUUGAUUAUGAGCUUGGAGUCGCCAUAUAUCUCAAGGGCUGUGAUUUCCAUGUUGAUUGCCAUUUGGAGCCCGAUGAUCAGUGUUUGGUACUCAGCGACGUUGUUGGAGCAUAAUUCGCUUAGUUGGAUUGAAUAAGGUAGUAUUUGCCUUUGUGGCGACAUGAAUACUACUCCUGCCCCCGCUCCGUCUGCUCAUGCAGAUCCGUCGAAGAACAUCGUCCAUGUCGAGAAUAUGUCGAUGUAGAACACCUCUUCGUCAGGCAAGUCAUCUGAGAUUUUCCAAUCGGCUGGGAUUGGAUGGUCAGCAAGGAAGUUUCCUAGCGCUUGUCCCUUGACGACUUUAGCUGGGACGUAGAUGAUCUCGUAUUGAUUGAGAAGCAAUGCCCAUUUAGCUAGUCGUCCUAUCAAAACUGGCUUGCACAUGACGUAUUUGACCAGGUCAGCUUUAGCAACCAAGUGGAUGGUGUAAGCAUGCAUGUAAUGUCUAAGCUUCUGGAUGGCAAACAUCAAGGCAAGGCACAUUUUUUUCUAUUGGGAGUAGUUCAACUCAGCGCCAGUGAGCGUUCGACUGAGGUAGUAGAGCGCACCUUCUUUCUGGGAUUCGUUUUCCUGUGCCAAGAGUGCUUCAACUGAUCUUUCCUGAGCAGCGAUGUACAAUAUGAGCGGUUUCCCUGGUAUAGGUGCCCCCAGGACAGGUGGACUUGAUAAAUACUUCUUUAUGCUUUCAAAAGCAUUGUUGCAUGCUUUGUCCUAUACGAACGGAACAUCUUUUUUCAUGAGUCGACUUAACGGUUAACAACGCCCUGCAAGGUUAGAGAUGAAGCGUCUGAUGAAGGCUAGCCGUCCUUGAAGACUUUUCAACUCGUGCAAGUUUCUUGGCUCGGGCAUGCUUUGAAUUGCCUUGAUCUUUGAUUGGUCCACUUCAAUGCCACGAUGCUUGACAAUGAAGCCAAGGAACUUUCCAGAUGUGACGCCAAAUGCACACUUUAACGGGUUCAUCUUAAGGUUGUAUUUUUGCAACCUUUCGAACACUACUCGCAAAUCCUUCAAGUGAUCUGAUCCUUUCUUUGUCUUGACCACCACAUUGUCUACAUAACAUUCUACGUUCUUGUGUCGCAUGUCAUUGAAGAUCUUUUGCAUUGCGCGUUGAUAUGUAGCUCCAGCAUUCUUCAGACCAAAUGGCAUCACCUUGUAGCAGUAGAUACCUUUUGGAGUACGGAAGGCUAUUAGUUCCUCAUCUUCAAAAGCCAUACGAAUUUGAUUGUAUCCAGAAGAGCCGUCCAUGAAUAAUAGUGCCUCAUGGCCAGUGGUCGCGUCCACCAUGAUUUCAAAGAUUGGCAAAGGGAAGUCAUCCUUUGGGCAAGCAUCAUUGAAGUCUCGGAAGUCUACGCAAACACGUAUUUGUCCAGAUUUCUUAAGGACUAUGACAAUGUUGGAGAUCCACUUGGGGUAUUGCACCUCUCGAAUGAAGCCUACUUCGAUCAACUUGUCAAUCUCAGCCUCGAUUUGUGGGAUGAGCUCGGAUCGAUAACGUCUUUGAGUUUGCUUUAUUGGUCGUGUUUCAGGUUUAACUGCAAGAUGAUGCACAGCAAUGAUAGGGUCGAGGCCGGGCAUUUCCUUGUAGGUCCAAGCAAAGACGUCCUUGUACUCUAAUAGCAGCUGGUAAUACUUCUCUAUCUCGUCUGCACUUAGUAAUGCACUUACUAAGAUAGGCUUUGGUUCCUCACUCGUGCCUAAGUUAAGUUCUUUGAGAUCGUCAACUGUGGCUUGCCCCCCUUCUUCAAGUUGUGACGGCGCUGCAAUGACAUCUUCCUCGAGGAUUUCAUCUUCUUCACCUUCUUGGAUUGUGAUGUGGAAGACGUCUUGGGUCUCUUCUUCGGUGUUGACCUCUCAAGCUUGUUGGCAUGAAGAUUGUCCAGUGUAGAUGAUGGUGCGCCUUUUCACUUUCAGUGAUCCAACUGUGUUAACCUCUAAAAUUUCUUGGCGCUUCAUUCUUGAAGGAAUGGAACUUCGAACGUCAUCCUUUUCUGCCAGAUGAUCAAUCUUUUCUACUUCUGGUGUCGUCUUUCUCCUUCUAGAAGGCUCUUUGGCUUCUUCAAGUCUUUCCAUAACUGACUGUCGUGGAAGAAAGCUAGUCAUAUUGCUUUGCUUCUUAGGUUUCGACAACCUUUUGAAAACAGAGCUUCGAGAUGCUGACGUGUUAAGCCUUUUGAAGACGUAAGUUCUGUUUUGACCGCCAAUGAGUUUAAGUGCUGAAACUCUGGGCUUUGAAUGAUUCAUUCUAUCGAAUACUGACGUCUGGGGGGCAGAUUGAGGCUCUUCUUUAUCUUGUAUAACGCUUACGCUGAUGUGUUGAGUGCUAGCAUUUUUUGCCUUGCUGGAGAUCUUCACCGGUGCAUUUCGUGUGAAGCCAAGUCCAGCUUUGUUGUUGUUGACCCCGUAACCAUGCUCCUCCAACUUCUUCUGAGUUUUAGUGAGAUCACGUUCGUUGUCUUUGACGGUGUUCAAAUCCUUCUUUCCUAAAUUUGCAGAGGAGGUGAAGUUGUACCCAACUCUCGACAUGAGUUUGUAGGCGUUUGGAUCAAAACCUUCUUCGGUCCUCUUGGUUGGGAGUAAGCUUGGUUCUACCCCCUUUGGCAGGCCUUUACAAAGCCUUGUUAUGGUCUUGCAACCUUAGUGUCGCCUAGCUGUGUCAGAGGUAAAACUGCAUUCGUUUUAAGCAACUUUACAUUAUCCAUGUGCCGCUGUGCAUCGGCUUUGCUUGCUGCAGUUUCAAAUGGGGAUUGACCAUUCUUUCUUCUCGACAUCGGGAUGUAUCAGAAAACGGGUAUGUUUGGUCCAUUUGAGGGCGUCCUACUCCCUCUGGUUGUUGUAGGUUUAGCAAGCUCAUCGUCGUUUUUUCUUGAAGAUGACAUAGCUUCUUCUUCUUGCUUCUUGGGCACGGUUUGCCACUUCUGCUUUUUAGGUGUUGCUUUGCUCAUGGAUUUGAUAUCUUUUGGAAGAGUUUCGGGUACCAUGUCUUCAUCCAUGUAGAACUUGGCGUCUACGAAAUGUGAUUCGGCUUCGAUGAAUGGCUUGGUGUCACCAUAUAGAACAUGGAAUAUUGUGCUUGACUUGAGUUCACCAAUGGUCAUCUCCACUCGGAUCAUACCCAUCGCUCUUUGUCCUCCUUGGUCAAAACCUUGGAUUAGUAGACGACUUAGGGAUAGUUCAUCCACCUUGAUGCCAAUUGUGGUCAUUGUUGACUUUGGCAUGAUAUUUAUGGCUGAUCCGCCAUCCACAAGCAUGCGGCUGACUUUGUGCUCCCUUACGUACCCAGAGACGAAGAGAGGUCGGUUGUGAACCUUGGAUCCUAGCAGCAAGUCUUCGUCGGUGAAGUGGAUUGUGUCAUCGGCGGCACAGCAUGUGGCACAUUCAUGUGGUCGAAGCUUCAAGCUUUCGUUCUUGCUUUCUUGCACUUCAUGGUCGUCGGAACUUGCCAAAACCGCUGUCAGUGCUCUUCGCAUCUUUUUGGCAAUCGGAGCGCUCCCUCGAUACUAAAGUGUGUUGGUAGACCUUCUUCAGUUGUAAAAGUCUUUUCCCCCUCAGUGGUGACAGCUUUGCCUUUUGAGGGUUCUUCCAUUUCUACUUCGACCAUGUGACAUGCAGUGAUAGUGUACUGUUGGAAGAAGUCAUUCGGGAAGUAUUCGUGUAAGGAGACGGGAAUACGUGGCUCUUGCUCCAUAGGUUCCCCAGCAUAUGUUGGCUUAGUAGCUCUUAUGUUUCUUUUAGGUUUCCUAUUGUUGCGGCGGCAAUGCUUUCUCGCUUGCUCCCCCUUUGGCCUUAUAGCUUGUGGUAUUGGCUUCCUCGUCUUCUUAUAGGUCACCAAUGUCCACCCUUCUUCAUUAUCGAUAGAUGCAUCCUGGUCGUUUGCCCCCAAUAAUGGUUGUGCAGAAGGUGCCGUGUAGCUUGUGCAUUGAUAGGAAUGGUCGGGCAUUUCUUGAAGAGGCACAGGAUCAAAGGAUCCAAACACGAUCGUAGUGGUGUGCGUUGCGGCUGUGUCUUCUAAGUCGAGCUUAAUCCACCCUUGCUGUGCCAACUUCAUGAUGAGUUCUUUUAAGAUGAAGCACUUACCCACAUGAUAACCCACGAUACGAUGGUACUUGCAGUACUUGGGAUCAUUAACGCGAUUCAUCUCUUCGGGGCGUUUGCGUUCAAGCAACUCAAUCACCUUCUUCUCCAGUAUGUCGUCCAGCAUUGCGUCCAUGUCGGAGUCCGGAAAAGGGUAUACCUUCUGCUCCAGUUCCCUCAAGGUCUUUUUGUACCUAUCUUGGGUGUGGGAAGGUUUGCUUCUUUUUAUCUCCUUUGCUUUGUUAUUGAAGGAGAUUUUGAUGGGUACGGACGAGGUCUUGAUAGGGGUGGUAUUGGUGGUAAAAGCUUCAUUGGCGGGCCUUUUCCCAUGAUUGUCUGUUCUUAAAGUAAACACCUUAUCCCUUUUGAAAUCGGUGAUUGGCUCCUUCUUUCCAUGGUGGGCAAUGCUCAGUUCCAUGUCGUGGGCACGGGUGGCUAAUUCUUCAAAAGUCCGUGGUUUAAUACCUUGAAGGAUGUAUUGUAAACCCCAUUGCAUGCCCUGGAUGCACAUCUCGAUUGAAGAAAUCUCGGAUAGCCUGUCCUUACAGUCGAGGCUUAGAUUACGCCAUCGGUUGAUGUAGUCCAUGACUGGUUCUUCCCUCCAUUGCUUCGUGCUCGUCAACUCUAGCAUGCUCACAGUGCGGCGAGUACUGUAGAAACGGUUGAGGAAUUCCCUUUCCAACUGUUCCCAGCUAUUGAUGGACUCGGGCUCCAGGUCCGUGUACCACUCAAAAGCAUUUCCUUUUAAUGAGCGCACAAACUGCUUGGCGAGGUAAUCUUCUUCCGUCUCUGCAUUGUUGCAGGUUUCGACGAAAUGUGUGACAUGUUGCUUCGGGUUUCCUUUUCCGUCAAAUUGCAUAAACUUCAGCGGUUGAUAACCCAUCGGCAUCCUUAAGGCAUCGAUCUUCCUGGAGUAUGGCUUCGAGUACAAUGUGGAGGCAUGUAAGCUCCAUUCGUACUGCGCUUUGACGGUGCUGGCGAUCAUCUCUUGCAAUUGCUUGAUGGAGAGAGAUCCCAUGAGCGCUGUUGUCUGGUCUAUCUUCAGCUUUUCUUCAGCUUUCUCCGCUAUAGGCUCAUCUUCUUCGUCGUCUUCCUUAUUCGGAUGAUCAAUAUUCAGGUUGGGUUUCUCUCCGUCAUGCACCUCCAGUCGGUUGACGAGUGCUGCAAUUUGCAAGUCUUUUUCUUCCACAGUUCGGGUUAGCCUUGCAAUUGCUUCAUUCAUCUGAGCCAGCUGCUCAUCGAUCGAAGUUGCUCCGGUAGCCAUAACUUGCAUGGCUAUGCUGUCGCUUGAGUCAACAUUGGAAAACAAAGACUCGGAGUACUUCCUCGGGCUUUCCUCCCUUGGCGCCCUUAGCGAGGCCGUUUGUGCCUCGGGUGCUCUUGUCCCUUUGGCAGGGUUGAUGUAGGGGUGGAAGAGGAGGCAGCAAGAGCUCUUGCCUUGCUUCGAGUUAUGAUGCCCGAAAUGGCGCCAUCUGCGGCGAUAAUGCUCUAGUUCUUCACGUUGGUUGUGGGAACAGCUUGAGCCUUCCUUGAUGCCAUUGAUUUUGGGAGUGUGCUCGAAUUUCUUGAACGGAGAAAGAGAUGAGAGGUAGAGAUAGUCCCACUAGGCGUGCCAAAUUUGUAAACACAGAAUAUUCCUGAAACGAAAGAGACAAGAACACGUGCACAAAAUAAUAUUUGUAUUUGAUGAUUUGGGGUUUACAAUAUCUCUCAAAUUUGAUCCUCUGAUUCGAUCUUCGUAAGGUGUUAAAUGUGAGGAUGAGCGAUUGAUCCAAAUGGUCGUUGGGCUUGAUCUAAGGAUGAACGUUUUUCAAGGGCCGUGGGCUUGAUUUUGAAGGUGGAUUUGAGCGGAUCUUCAAGGAGCCGUUGGGGCUUGAUCUUGAGAAUGAGUGAUUCUUCAAGGGCCGUUGAAGCUUGAUCUUGAAUAAUGGUGAUGAACGGAUCUUCAAGGGCUUUUGGGCUUGAUCUUGAAGAACGGUUGGAUGUGUGGAUUUGUUGAUGUUGUUGAUCCAAGGGCCGUCGGGGCUUGAUCUUGGAAGAACGAUGAACGAAGAACGAAGAACACUUUCUUCAAGGGC
rnacentral:lncRNA from 1 species